rnacentral:rRNA from 1 species
CACGUAGGGUGCGAGCGUUGUCCGGAAUUAUUGGGCGUAAAGAGCUCGUAGGCGGUCUGUCGCGUCGAUCGUGAAAACUUGGGGCUUAACCCUGAGCUUGCGGUCGAUACGGGCAUGACUGGAGUUCGGCAGGGGAGACUGGAAUUCCUGGUGUAGCGGUGAAAUGCGCAGGUAUCAGGAGGAACACCGGUGGCGAAGGCGGGUCUCUGGGCCGAUACUGACGCUGAGGAGCGAAAGCGUGGGGAGCGAACAGG